rnacentral:rRNA from 1 species
UACAGAGGUCUCAAGCGUUGUUCGGAUUCAUUGGGCGUAAAGGGUGUGUAGGUGGCGCGCUAAGUCGGGUGUGAAAUUUCGGAGCUUAACUCCGAAACUGCAUUCGAUACUGGCGUGCUUGAGGACUGGGAGAGGAGACUGGAAUUCAUGGUGUAGCAGUGAAAUGCGUAGAGAUCAUGAGGAAGACCAGUGGCGAAGGCGGGUCUCUGGACAGUUCCUGACACUGAGACACGAAGGUCAGGGGAGCAAACGGG